UACAGAGGGGGCAAGCGUUGUUCGGAAUUACUGGGCGUAAAGGGCGCGUAGGCGGCCUUCUAAGUCGAACGUGAAAUCCCCGGGCUCAACCCGGGAACUGCGUCCGAUACUGGAAGGCUUGAAUCCGGGAGAGGGAUGUGGAAUUCCAGGUGUAGCGGUGAAAUGCGUAGAUAUCUGGAGGAACACCGGUGGCGAAGGCGACAUCCUGGACCGGUAUUGACGCUGAGGUGCGAAAGCGUGGGGAGCGAACAGG
rnacentral:rRNA from 1 species